AUUGAACGCUGGCGGCAUGCUUCACACAUGCAAGUCGAACGGUAACAGGUUAAGCUGACGAGUGGCGAACGGGUGAGUAAUGCAUCGGAACGUGCCCGAUCGUGGGGGAUAACGCAGCGAAAGCUGCGCUAAUACCGCAUACGAUCUGAGGAUGAAAGCGGGGGACCGUAAGGCCUCGCGCGAUCGGAGCGGCCGAUGUCAGAUUAGGUAGUUGGUGGGGUAAGGGCUCACCAAGCCAACGAUCUGUAGCUGGUCUGAGAGGACGACCAGCCACACUGGGACUGAGACACGGCCCAGACUCCUACGGGAGGCAGCAGUGGGGAAUUUUGGACAAUGGGCGAAAGCCUGAUCCAGCAAUGCCGCGUGCAGGAAGAAGGCCUUCGGGUUGUAAACUGCUUUUGUACGGAGCGAAAAGGCUCUCUCUAAUACAGGGGGCUCAUGACGGUACCGUAAGAAUAAGCACCGGCUAACUACGUGCCAGCCGCCGCAGUAA
rnacentral:rRNA from 1 species